CACGUAGGGGGCAAGCGUUGUCCGGAUUUAUUGGGCGUAAAGAGCUCGUAGGUGGUUCGAUAAGUCGGGUGUGAAACCUCCAGGCUCAACCUGGAGACGCCACCCGAUACUGUCGUGACUAGAGUCCAGUAGGGGAGCGUGGAAUUCCUGGUGUAGCGGUGAAAUGCGCAGAUAUCAGGAAGAACACCAAUGGCGAAGGCAGCUCUCUGGGACGGUACUGACGCUGAGACGCGAAAGCGUGGGGAGCGAACAGG
rnacentral:rRNA from 1 species